rnacentral:rRNA from 1 species
CAAGUCGAGCGAACGGACGAGAAGCUUGCUUCUCUGAUGUUAGCGGCGGACGGGUGAGUAACACGUGGAUAACCUACCUAUAAGACUGGGAUAACUUCGGGAAACCGGAGCUAAUACCGGAUAAUAUUUUGAACCGCAUGGUUCAAAAGUGAAAGACGGUCUUGCUGUCACUUAUAGAUGGAUCCGCGCUGCAUUAGCUAGUUGGUAAGGUAACGGCUCACCAGGGCAACGAUGCAUAGCCGACCUGAGAGGGUGAUCGGCCACACUGGAACUGAGACACGGUCCAGACUCCUACGGGAGGCAGCAGUAGGGAAUCUUCCGCAAUGGGCGAAAGCCUGACGGAGCAACGCCGCGUGAGUGAUGAAGGUCUUCGGAUCGUAAAACUCUGUUAUUAGGGAAGAACAUAUGUGUAAGUAACUGUGCACAUCUUGACGGUACCUAAUCAGAAAGCCACGGCUAACUACGUGCCAGCAGCCGCGGUAAUACGUAGGUGGCAAGCGUUGUCCGGAAUUAUUGGGCGUAAAGCGCGCGUAGGCGGUUUUUUAAGUCUGAUGUGAGAGCCCACGGCUCAACCGUCGAGGGUCAUUGGAAACUGGAAAACUUGAGUGCAGAAGAGGAAAGUGGAAUUCCAUGUGUAGCGGUGAAAUGCGCAGAGAUAUGGAGGAACACCAGUGGCGAAGACGACUUUCUGGUCUGUAAC